rnacentral:rRNA from 1 species
GACUGGCUACUGAUGACUAAAUAUCUGAAUGAGGAAAUUCAGCAUUAGUGUGCCAGAUGAUGGUACAUUGGUGUGCACUUUUCUUCUAGUAAGACGUUGCGAUCCAUUAGAAAUGCAAUUUAAAUCUGUAUAUAGGCCCAAAUAGGAGUUUAUACAUUAAGCGAGUAACAUGACUUUGUUGUUAUGUGAAUGCGUGUAAACUAUUUGGUGUUCUUACAGAUGUCUGAUGGUAUAUUGACGAGUGUCACAUACAAUUCCAUUGUGAAUUGACAUUCUUUUAUUAAAAUGUAAAGUGUGUACAUUUUCACCAACGUUUUAUAUUUUUGAUACCCCCACGACCCCUCUUGAAACACGGACCCAAAAAUCUAAAUUGUGUGCGAGUCAAUGGGAUUUUUUAAACCCAUAUGCGAAAUGAGAUUAAAUUGUUAUAAACAAGGGAAUUAAAAAGGGAUAUUUUAUUUACUUUUUUUUCCCCCCCCGGGAUAUCUAAGUGUACUGUGUGUUUUUUGGUGUGUGUGACAAACAAAUAUAUCGCGAGCACAAACAGUGUGACCCCAAAAAGAGGGAAAUCUGUGCGAGAGCGGUUAAAACUCGGGAAACCCUGAGAUGAGAGACCAAAUUAUCUCAGACGUGUAUCUCGUGUGACAGAUGUGUAUAGGGGCGAGACACACAACUCAACCUCUCAAUACUGUUUUUCUUAAAAAAA